AUGGAGCCCCCCGUGGCCAAGAAAGCGACGCAACCAGAGGAGGAAGAUAGGUUGAGCGUGCUGAUGGAUGAUGUUUUACUGUCUAUCUUGCGGAAAGUCGACAUAAGCACCACUGUAAGGACAAGUUCGCUGUCAACGCGGUGGAGGAAGCUGCCCUGGCUGCUGCCUGAGCUCAGCAUUGAUGUCAGGCAUUUCCUACCUGUUCCAUGCCCAGACUCGAUCACGGCAAAUGACUGUCAGCAAGCUAUGGUGGCUCUAACCAAAGCAGCCAAGUGUUUGCUUGCUAAACCUCACAGACAAUCCACCAUCACAACUCUGCAGCUUAAGCUCUACUUGAUCAGCACUUUCUUGAGCGACAUUGGCCCUCUAUUAGGUGAUGUGAUCGACAGUGGUUUGCUGAAAGAUUUGGACCUUUGCCUGCUUGAUGAUCUGAAACCUGGUGACUCUUCUGAGUUGCACAUGAUACAGCUCGCCAAAGACAUGUAUGGUUUCUUCAAUGUCUACCCCAGUGUGUUUGGUUGCCUCACAAGACUUUCUCUGCAUGGUGUUUGUUUUAUCGAGUUGGAUAUGCACCAUCUCCUGUUUGACUGCUGCACACAGCUGAAGCAUCUAAGCCUCCAUUAUUGUGAUGCUGGUCGCCGCUCUGUGUGGAAGAUAGAUGCACCAGACUCAAAACUCAGUGUUCUGGAAAUCGACACAUGUUGCUUUGAGAGAAUUGAGUUGGUCUGCCUUCCAGAACUGGAGAAGCUCCAUUGGGAUACUUGGGUGUCUGAAUAUAUCCCCUUGUUGUUUGGUGAUGUCCCGUCUCUUGGGGAACUAAAACUCUCAUCUGCUUUAACAUACUAUAAUACAGUAUUUAAAUUAAGUGAGCUUCUACAUGGAACCACAAGCAUACAUACUCUUACAUUGGAUUUCCAAGGAGAAAACCUUUGGAUCCAACCUGAAAUGAAGCAACUCUGCACCGCAUUCAACAAGCUAAGGAAGCUGACUUUGCGUGGUAUCUUUGUUGAAUUUGACAUUAUAUGGACAACAGCCUUCCUUGAGGCGGCACCCUCCAUGGAAAUAUUAAUUAUUGAGGUAUGGGACCAUGCAUGCAGCGCAUUUGUGAACGAUGAGGAGAGAAUGUCGGUAUUUGCAGAAAGGAAAAACCCUCAUUGGGAGAUGGACUUCCAUUGCUCCAAGAACGGGCUACUGAAAGAGCUCCAGUUUGUCGGCUUUAGAUCGCUAGAACAGCAGUUUGCGUUUAUAAGGGCCUUGCUGGACCGAGCUCCCAACUUGCAGACGAUACUUCUCAAAGGAGCCGAGCAAUGCAAGUACUGCGAUGCCCUUGAUACCAAGUCGUGUUGUUCAACAGAGUCUUCCUUUCCAAAGAGUGAGGAUGAGCAAGAACUGGUGGUGAGGCGAAUCACAGAUGGCAAAUCCUCACCCCGGGUGAUUUUCCAUGAAUGA
rnacentral:rRNA from 1 species